AUGGCCAUUGUCGAGAAAGAGGGGAAGACUGUCGAAGUUGGUAGAGCCCACUUUGCGACUGAAAAUACAAGAUUCACUAUCUUGGAUGCACCGGUUCUUUUCUUUCACAUUUUACUUCGAUGCUCCUAUCUCUUGGUUUAUUUUUCUUGCAUGGCACUGUUAUGCUUCUCUGGAUUAUCUAUGAUUUUGUGA
rnacentral:rRNA from 1 species